AUAUUUGGAGAGGCCAAGUUGGUCACCUUCCAGCGCUCAUAUCCGUUAUGCUAGCUUCCGUACUGACACCAAGCGAAGUCAUGCGGCGAAACAUAGGAAAUACUAUGUUGCAUAUUCUUGGUUAUUUAUUUAUUUAUUUAUUUGAUAAGCUGGACUAAUCCAUUUGACUAUAGGACAUGCACUGGAAUGAAAUCAUGCGGAUAUGUGCUGCCAUGUCAUCUGGUUGUCGAACAAACAAGUAUGCUUUACAAAGAAUAGUACGAUGCAAGGCCAUACGGAAGCUGUGAAUGAUAUUCAAAAGGGCUGGCAAUGCCAUGAGUAAGCAAGUAUCCUGGCAAAUAUUAGGGAUCAACGAAAAGAUAAUCAGGGACAAGAUCAUGCUAGCAACUGUAUAUAAAGAGGUGAUCCACAACGGUGAGGGAAGAGUUGAUAGACAUUAUCCAACCAGCCACCUUUCCACUAUUGCUAAAUGUUGCCGCAACGUAGAAUGUUGGUUUUACCAUGUAAACAAAAGAAACAUCCCACACCGUCGAUGAUUUUUGUUGUUGAGAAAACGCAAAAAUAUUUGCGUUUCAUUUCAUUGAAAGGGUAUAAGGUUCAAGGGUACACUCCUCCUAAGAAGAUAUAAUGGUUACAAUAGGUUACAUGAAUGCACAUCCUAUGUCGUCCGGCUAUUGCUGAAUGUUAUCAAUUUUAUAUUAUUGGUUUGCAUGGCAGGUUACUGGUCAUGUGAGUCUUUUUUUUCUACUGCCAUCCAUCUUGCAUUUUUUUUCUUUCUUAUG